rnacentral:rRNA from 1 species
UUAUGGCUCAGAUUGAACGCUGGCGGCGUGCUUAACACAUGCAAGUCGAACGCGAAAGGGACUUCGGUCCUGAGUAAAGUGGCGCACGGGUGAGUAACGCGUGGAUAAUCUGCCCUUAUGAUCGGGAUAACAGUUGGAAACGGCUGCUAAUACCGGAUACGCUCAAAAUGAACUUUUUGAGGAAAGAUGGCCUCUGCUUGCAUGCUAUCACGUAAGGAUGAGUCCGCGUCCCAUUAGCUUGUUGGCGGGGUAACGGCCCACCAAGGCAACGAUGGGUAGCCGAUUUGAGAGGAUGAUCGGCCACACUGGAACUGAAACACGGUCCAGACUCCUACGGGAGGCAGCAGUGGGGAAUAUUGCGCAAUGGGCGAAAGCCUGACGCAGCGACGCCGCGUGAGGGAUGAAGGUUUUCGGAUCGUAAACCUCUGUCAGAAGGGAAGAAACUACGUUGUGCUAAUCAGCAGCGUACUGACGGUACCUUCAAAGGAAGCACCGGCUAACUCCGUGCCAGCCGCCGC